UUUCCGUAGGUGAACCUGCGGAAGGAUCAUUGUCGAAACCUGCACAGCAGAACGACCCGCGAAUCUGUUGAAACCAUUGCGUCAUCGUCCCUUGGGCGAUGCGCGUCCUCGUUUGUGCGGGGGUGCUGUGGUCGAGAGGCCUCCGCCCUCCCUCCCAAACGAACAAAUGAACCCCGGGCGCAAACCGCGCCAAGGAACACAUGAAAAAUGGCAUGCACCCCUCGCCCCAGAAACGGUGUGCGGGAGGGUUGCGUAGUCGUCAACAGCUUUAUGCAAAACGACUCUCGGCAACGGAUAUCUCGGCUCUCGCAUCGAUGAAGAACGUAGCGAAAUGCGAUACUUGGUGUGAAUUGCAGAAUCCCGUGAACCAUCGAGUCUUUGAACGCAAGUUGCGCCCGAAGCCGUCAGGCCGAGGGCACGUCUGCCUGGGUGUCACAUAACGUUGCCACAGUCCCUAGCCCCAACUGGUGCUGCGAGGACUUUGGCAGAGAUUGGCCUCCCAGCGGCACACGCCCGUGGCUGGCCCAAAAUCGAAUAACCCCCCGUGAGACGACUAUCCACGGCAAGAGGUGGUCUGUUGCAUGAUUGCAUCGAACAUCGCCGUGCGUGACGCUUGCUUCACGGAGGGAGCUUAAGACCCCACUCACACUGCGACCCCAGGUCAGGCGGGAGCACCCGCUGAAUUUAAG
rnacentral:rRNA from 1 species